AUUAUACGGUUAGUUUGAUACACUACUAAAAUAAAUGUUUUUUACGACGUACUUUCAAAGUCGGUCGCAAUAGGACCGUCUUUGUAUUAGGAGCGGUGGCAUUUUGGUAAAUAUUUUACAUAUUUAAAGACGUUUUCGUUUGGCAACGUCUUUGAAAGGGAGACAGGGGCAUUUUUGUAAUGAUAAAAAAAAUUACUAAGACGGUGUAUCUAAACAACGUCGUUGAAAUCCCUAUAUACAAAGACGGGUUUGAAAUUUACACCGUCGUGAACCAUAAAGACGGCCGUCGUGAACCAUGUUGUCCCGCGCGUUCUUCUUCUCCUUCGUGAGUACGUCUGAACGAAACCUCCCGCGCUAGCUUCUCGUGGGUGAGUUUCUAAGUGAGUUUCGCAACACCUUGACUCCUUCACAUCAAACCUUCCGGCCGCGCUACGUUGCUCGUGAGUGAGUUUUUCAGCUUUUGAGAACCCAAAGAUCAUUGCAGUGACACUGUUCACGGAGGUAACAUCGGCCUCGUUGCAUGAAGAGUUGGGUGUGGUGGUUUGAGAUAUUGUAUUUUCGUUGCAGUAAUAUUGUCCAAUUUUGACUUUUCAGGAACUUCUAUCUUUAGAAACUUCCUCCCUUGGUGGUUCAUAGGCUGGGUUGGGACCCCUAGCUAGUUGUAUUUUGCGACAAGGAGAUUUAUCGCUUUCCAGAUAUGAAUAUAAAGGUCUCAAUAAGGUUUGGAAGGGAAAAUUGUCAGAGGCCAAGGCUAGUGGAAAUUCUAUAAAGAUCCAGGAAGCACAGGAUAUGGUUGUGCUUUAUGAUUCAUUGCAAAUUGCUCACAAGUGUAUACUUAAUUCCUUUUAUGGAUAUGUCAUGCGCAAGGGUGCAAGAUGGUACUCCAUGGAAAUGGCUGGAGUAGUGACAUAUACUGGUGCAAAUAUCAUUCAGAAUGCUCGCUUGCUAGUAGAGAAAAUAGGAAAACCACUUGAACUAGACACUGAUGGUAUCUGGUGUGCACUACCUGGAUCUUUUCCAGAAAAUUUCACUUUGAAAACAAGAGACCCAAAGAAGAAGUUUACAAUCUCAUACCCAUGUGUUAUGCUUAAUGUUGAUGUGGCAAUAAAUAACUCAAAUGAUCAAUACCAGACACUCACAGAUCCAAUCAGGAAAACGUAUACAACUCGCAGUGAAUGCUCUAUCGAAUUUUAGGUGAAGAGCUCUAUGUGAGGGUUUAUGAUGUUGAUCCCAACCCUGCCAAGGAGAAGCCACCUCCACAGAAUCUCCUUCUAUGUGCUUUUCUUUCAGUAUGUUGUAAGAGAUAAAAUCAUCCAUCCUGUCAAAGCCGAGCAGUGAAUGUUUUCAACAUAGCAUGCGCCGUUUGGUGUAAUCGUAACCAGUGGACAUUCAGGCAUAAUACAAUCAUUACAAUGGACUUGGCAAAAGCUGCAGCUUUGCAUGUUAGCUCUCAAAUAAGCCAUGAAAGGGAGAAACUAACAUCAAACGAUGCGUUGCAUAACACCUGCAGAUCGAAAAAAAAAAAAAAGAAUUAUGAUGCCUCAAUUGGACACUACUACUGCUAUAGUUUUGUUUUUCCAUCCGUCUUUUGAACCCAAGGUUGUAGAGGCUGUGGUAUUCAGGUAGGCUUUACAACCUGUUGAUGUUUGUGUACAUACAGUUCUUUAUGAAAUAGAUAGCUAGCAAGUAGCUACUGGUUAUAUCAUAGUCAGAAGAAGCCUAAACUAAAUUGCAAAAGCUAUUUUCAUGGAGUGGUGAAAAUUUCAGAUUAUUGAGUGCAAGAUCACAAAUUUUUAUUGUGGCA